AUGAGUACAUUAUUAAAAGUAAGGCAAACAUCUGUUUUUAUGAUUUAUGCUUUGGGAUGUGCUGUCAUUGUGAGUAAUAUUUAUAUUUAUAUUUUUUCAGAUUCUCAAAGGAUGCAAUUGCCAGAAGCUCCCAGCCCAUCUCCAACUCCACAGUCUACCUGCUCUCCCUCCCAACCCUCUUCUCCUCCUCAUCCUCCAGACUCUUCCACCUUUCUCCCAUCUACUUCUCAUCCCCAAAUGGACUAUGAGGAGGAGACUUACACCCUAACCCUCGUCCCUGUCCGGCCUCCAAGCACCGCCUCAGCAUCUCCCUCUCAAAAAACCAUGACUGAAAGUGUGUCUGCACAGUGCUCCUGCUCUCCCACACCUACUCUCUCCCUGACCAGUGCAACAGGUGAAGGGAAGAAAAAGAGGAAGAGAGGCUGCUGAAAAUGUUUGAAGCAAAAAAUAUUUCACUACAAUGAAAUAAAAGAAACAACUAAAGGAG